rnacentral:rRNA from 1 species
UACGAAGGGGGCUAGCGUUGUUCGGAAUUACUGGGCGUAAAGCGCACGUAGGCGGGUUGGUAAGUAGGGGGUGAAAUCCCAGCGCUCAACGCUGGAACUGCCUUCUAGACUGCCAGCCUUGAGGUCAGGAGAGGCGAGUGGAAUUCCGAGUGUAGAGGUGAAAUUCGUAGAUAUUCGGAGGAACACCAGUGGCGAAGGCGACUCGCUGGACUGAUACUGACGCUGAGGUGCGAAAGCGUGGGGAGCAAACAGG